GCCCGGCCGCCGCGCUCACCCGCUCCCUCGUGGCCGCCGCGGCCGCCGCCGCCUCCUCGGUCUCCUCGUCCGCCGCGCUGGGGACUCUGCACCAAGGGACUGCCCUGUCCAGUGUCGAGAACUUUACUGCUAGGAUUUCAAAUUGUUAAUAACGCUAUGUUAGCGCGCUUGGGAAAGAGAAGCACGGCUAAGAGAGAGGACUUUGGAACCGAGAACGUCCAGAUGCCACAGCUGCCCGGGGUGGAGACGAGUUAGCAGGCGGAACCCAGACGGCCCAGGCACCGCUCGCAUGCCUCGCAGCCUUCUGUAAGUCACAGAUCUGAAACUUAGAGCUGAAAGUCAUUAUGAUGAGAGAGUGAAAGAACGGGGCCAUGGGUAUUAUUAUUAUUUGCAUGAUACUUGGAUGUCCCGAACAGCGGGGAAUCCCAGCUACUCCUUCUCUCUGUUCAAAUUCCCCCAUCUCUAAAAAGUGCCAGGACGGACUCUACCCCCUCCCCCGCCCCCAGGUUGUCCGCGCUUUUAAGAGAAUGGUAACAAGGCACUGUGCAAUCCGGCGCUGGCCUCCUUUGGCGUCUGGAGGUGGGGUCCCGCAUCACCCAAGCCAGCUAGAGAGACCGCAAGCCUGUGGUGCGCCCCUGAGCCCUAAGAAAAAGUAAGCUCAACCGGCCUGCUCACUGUCGCGUUUUGCCUCAUCACCUUCCGGGUUUGGGCUUCCACGGUAGGUGUUGCUGGCCCGGAGACGGACGAGAUAGUGGGGAGCGAAGGCGGCGAGCUGGGCAGGGAGUGAGCGGUGGCGGACUACCAGGCGGCCGGGAACGCGGGGCUCGCCCGGUUGGCCGAGUGGACGAGCAGGUGCUGGAACAAAGGCCGCGGGGCUGCCGGGCUACGGAGGCCUUUGAUGGGCAAGGACGUCUCCUCCCGGGGCUCCUCAUUCGCAUGCAAAUCCAGCUCUGGUCCUCUUUUCUUUGAAGGCAAACAGAAGGAUGUUUGUGUGUUUGUAAGGACGAAGCUUGCUUGAACAAGCCUUCCUCAAUAGGCUGGGUCUCGAAAAAUAAACCGGUUGGACAAACAUUGGCCACCAGCUCUCCUCCUCCCAACUACAAAGUGUGGAUUUGCUACAACUCAUUAACCCGACGCUUUUCUCCCCUUCGCCUUGUUUCUCUGCUCAUCAAACGCCCCCGUAGAGCCUGGAGACAAAUGACCGAAGCUCAGUCGGGAGGGAAUUGCAGUUAAUAGGGAGAGGGAUAUAUUGGGGCUAAUGGUUCAGGCAGCUCCCGGAGAAGGACCACACAAAAAGGAGCCUCUCCAUUCAGGGCUCUGUUGUGCUGCGGAGAUUUACUCUGCAGCUAGAUUUAUCCAAAUGUUAUCUAUUGCCCGGGUAAUGAAGCCCUUAUGGAUUGAAUUGCUCCUUGUACCACACAUGAUGUCAUGACCUUAGAUCGUUUCUUGGUUGAUUUCUUUUUUUCUCUGUUGGGUAAUUAUUUUAUUUCUUUAAAAUAAGAAGCUAGAGCUUCUGCUCAACAACAUGUUUCCUCUCCGUC